ACCUGCUAAGAGUUGUGCUCCACUUGCUGUGUUACAGUCUCAUGAUGGUUUCAUGAAGGAAUCGGAUGAGGGGGCCAACUUCAUUAGGUGUGGUUUGUUCACAUUUGUGUUCACUGGAGAAACAAGGACACAAAAUUAUCAACUUCAGUAGUGUGAAUUAGUCAGGGAGGGAAAGAGAAUAAUGUACAAUUGUGAUGACUCAUCAUGGCCAUUAUGUUCAGGCUGACCUUCCAUAGAUAGGCAGCUGUGGGUUAUAGGAAAGAAUGUUGUAUCAAUUGACUUUGAAUAGGGAAGGCUGAAGGGACAUGGGCUUUUCAUGGGAGGAGAGUUACAGGUUAUGACUGAGUAUGUGGUGGAACUACUACAAGGAGAAUGGCGAUCACUUUCUCCUUUAAUUGGCAAUAGAUGUUGUAUAUCAAUGGAAACUUAGUCUUAUUCUUGGAAAUGUAGAGGGCAGUUUUCCUGAGAGGAAAAUUUAAUCAAAAGAUCCAGAGAAGUAUGUGUGUGUGUCUGUUUCAUAUUUAAUUGCUGCCAUUAUGUUUAGCUACUCCUUUACUCAGAAUAUAUCAUAAGUCUCAUGCAUAUUAGUUUUCAUUUGUAAAAUGAAAGCAUAUUUUGGCUUACAAAAUAUGCUUUCACCUUAAAACUUACAGAUAGAGUAAGCAGGUGAAAGUAAGGGGAAGCGCCUUCACUUCCCAGCUCUCCUGGGCUCCGUCCUCGCCCCGCCCCCGGCGGUAACGCUCCGCCCAGGCCCCGCCUCCGGAAGUCCCGCCUCUUCUUUUCCGACUCUAUCCCUGGGAACCGAAACGCAGUAUGGAAAUGGAGUACCAAACAGUGAUUGACUUGUGUGAAGCCGUUUUUUCAACGUUCUAGUGUAAAUCUGUGCUGCAUGUCCGCCGUAUUCUUUCUUUAAGGUCUUGGGAGUGACCCUCGACCUUACAGCCCAGCAUCCGGCACUUAACCUGAGUAAGCCCAGACAUCGCUGUGACAUCGCUGUUACUCGUUGGGGCUCAGCUGGUAAAAGAGGAGAGGAUUAGUGCUCGCUUCGGCGGCACAUAUACUAAAAGAGGAGAUGACUGGAUAAUUUACUUACCAACCCAGACCUCUGACUUGAUGAUUCAGAGGAACGUCUUUCAACACAUACCGAUGUCUCUAAGAUGUGACGAGACCAGACACAACACAGCCCCAAAAGAACAGACAGGGCCCUUCACUGAGGUUCUGAGGAUAGACCUGUUAUACUUCUAACAUCAUUCCUCAUUGUUUUCUAUAUUUUCCUUGCAGAGCUCGUGUUACAAAAGUGUUCAGUUCCUUGGAUAAUUCAGUUCAGUUUGUGUUUAUUAGUUCAGAUGUGCUAAAUCCUCAGUAGAUCUACUCUUGAAAUUUCCUGAAGACUUUCCCCCAAGUGUCUGAGCCAAACCAUUUUAAGGGAAGACUACAGUUUCCAUGACCUUCCAUGACUUCCAAGGGCAGAAAAUUUGCUAAUUAAAGAAGGAUGCUCCCGCUCGGUCAGUCCUGGCCAACUCUUUUGUGACCCAAUGGACUAUAGCCCGCUAGGCUCCUCUGUCCAUGGAAUUUCCCAGACAAGAAUACUGGAGUGGGUUGCCAUUUCCUCCUCCAGGAUAUCUCCCCGACACAGGGAGUCUCCUGCAUGCAACCCAGACCUCUGACUUGAUUCAGAAGAAUGUCUUUCAACACGUACUGAUGUCUCUAGGAUGUGACAGGACCAGACUGACACAGCUCUACAGGAACUGGCAGAACCAUUCACCAAUGUUCUAAGGAGCAGGCUGUCUUAAACUUCCUAGCCGCAGUCAUCUUCAGCAGGGAUUACAGCAGUGAAUUGCUGCGCCCCGAGGUCCCGCCCGCCGCGCCCCGAGGUCCACCACACCCUCCCAAGGUCCCCACGCACGAUUGGCUUCGCUUCAAGACCGGCCCCCUGAUGCCCUGUGCUCGCCCCCAGGCCGCUAGGCCGUUUCACUGAGGGUGCGCUUGGCGUCACGCAUACCCGGAAGCGGAGAGCGGCGAGUGGACGUCUCAGCGCAACCUCUGAAGACUUGUGUUCCCUGAGGAAGCCCAGAAGAGGAGGAAGAGGAAAGAACAGGAGUCAGGCAUGGCUCUUUCUCAGGCACAGUUGACCUUCAAGGAUGUGUUCAUAGAUUUCACUCCCGAGGAGUGGGAAUGUCUGGACCCUGCCCAGAGGACCUUGUACAAGGACGUGAUGGUGGAGACCCUCAGGAACCUGCUGUCUGUGGGACCCUCCCUGGAGUUUGCAUACACACCUUAGCCAAGUUGGAUCUCAAAGUGAAGGCUUCUGGGAGGAGCAAGACUCAUUAUGGCCUGGAAUUAUCCUGUGAGUUUUGACUCCAAGCAGCCUUUCUGGGCAUGUCUCCCUUAACAAACAGGGUUUUUUCCUUUCUUUGUCCUUGCCAUGAUUAUUCCCUGAGAUUAGAGAAUGACUGUCUAUUUACCCUGUUUUUGUUGGGUGUAAAUUCCUCAACUGGAGCCCAUGUAUCUCAUGGAAUGCAAAGGGGAAGAUGACAACAUUCAAGACAUUUAACGUGGAGGCCAUCAGUCUCCUACCAGAAAAUUGCAUUUUUUUAGGGAGAAAGAAAGAAGGUCUGACUUAUAGGUGGCUGUUUCUAAAUGAAGAAAAUGAUUUAAUUAGAAAGAAAAAAGAGUUUUUGUUCUAAGUGGACCCCCAGGAAAAGAGGUCCCAAAAGGCAAAGUCUUUAUAUGAUCUGUAACAAUCUGUCAUUUGACUCCUGUCAGUGUUGUUGCUUGACUAUGGGAAGCAUGUGAUGAGGUGUUUCAAAGGGAUCUAUUUCCUCUUUGUCCCCCUUCUGCACUGGAUUCCAUCAGAUGCCUGCUUUUUGGUCCAUGUAGAACAGCGCUGACACCUCCAGAGUUUUAUUUUGGACCCAGCCUGGUUUUGUUCCUAUUUGCUGCACUUGGGAGAUCUCAUUGGAAGAAGGGAAAAGACUGGCAGCUCUUUGAUUGCAUUUGGUGUCUCAGACCCUACACAGAGCUGCCUUCAACCUGUCUUCCUGAUCAGAGCCCUCAGCUAUUCCUGUUGUUACUUCUUUUGCCACAUCCUUCAGGGGUGAGUGUAACAGGAAUGUGGUUUGGAUCUUCUGUGAUUGUAACUCAGGAAACCUGGAAGGACAGUGGACAUUGAGGUUCUCUCUUGGACAGGACCUGAAUUGAUGUGUUGUUGGUGCCUUGGAAACCAUUUCCAGGAGUAAGACAGUUACACAGGUCAGUUCUUGCGUCUGAUCUGAAGUUUCCUUUUUACACUCCUGGAGUUCACUGUAACUUUUUGUCCUCUGUUCUGCCCAAGUGGGCCCUGGUGGUUCAGAGCAUGUAUGAAUCUGUAAGUCUCGGUUUCAGUCCUGCUUUUGCUCAUUUACUUUCAUGUUCCAUGGAGCUGUGUACAGGAACCCUGUGAAUCCACUACCUUUGUAAAAUUGAGGUAAUUAGUGCUGUUAGGUGGCAUAGAAUGUUGCCUGUUUUACAGAAAAGGUCAGAAGUUACUUUUUUUUUUUCAUUUAUUUUUCUUAGUUGGAGGCUAAUUACUUCACAACAUUUCAGUGGGUU